UUAGAAGGAACACAAGUUAAAACCGUCACAUCCUGUGACAACACUUGUGUGACCAACAUCGUGUUGG
rfam:Solibacillus silvestris StLB046 DNA, complete genome.